CUAAGGGCGUCGAAGGGGAAUAGUAGGCGGCCCGAUCCUUCCAGAGAGCCGGCGGUCGCUGCGAGCCGGCAGGAUCGGGCUGCCGAACUCACCCCCGAGUCUGCAUCACCGGCACGCAGUUGCCGGGCGGUGCCGUUUUCCGCGUUAAGGAUGAGCUGGACGGCUUGCCGUCAAUGUGGGUGGCACCGCGGGAGAAUCGACUCUCGUCCCUGAC
rnacentral:ncRNA from 1 species